rnacentral:rRNA from 1 species
CAGCAGUCGCGAAAACUUUGCAAUACACGAAAGUGUGACAGGGCUAUCCCGAGUGCCAUCCGCUGAGGAAGGCUUUUACCCAGUCUAGAAAGCUGGGGGAAUAAGGAGAGGGCAAGUCUGGUGUCAGCCGCCGCGGUAAUACCAGCUCUCCCGAGUGGUGUGGAUGUUUAUUGGGCCUAAAGCAUCCGUAGCUGGCUAAGUUAGUCCCCUGUUAAAUCCAACGAAUUAAUCGUUGGAUCGCGGGGGAUACUGCUUGGCUAGGGGACGGGAGAGGCAGACGGUAUUUCCGGGGUAGGGGUGAAAUCCUAUAAUCCCGGGAAGACCACCAGUGGCGAAGGCUGUCUGCUAGAACGCGCCCGACGGUGAGGGAUGAAAGCUGGGGGAGCGAACCGGAUUAGAUACCCGGGUAGUCCCAGCUGUAAACGAUGCAGGCUAGGUGUUUGGACGGCCACGUGCCGUUCUAGUGCCGCAGGGAAGCUGUUAAGCCUGCCGCCUGGGGAGUACGAUCGCAAGAUUGAAACUUAAAGGAAUUGGCGGGGGAGCACCACAAGGGGUGAAGCUUGCGGUUUAAUUGGAGUCAACGCCGGG